GAAACAUCUUCGGGUUGUGAGGUUAAGCGACUAAGCGUACACGGUGGAUGCCCUGGCAGUCAGAGGCGAUGAAGGACGUGCUAAUCUGCGAUAAGCGUCGGUAAGGUGAUAUGAACCGUUAUAACCGGCGAUUUCCGAAUGGGGAAACCCAGUGUGAUUCGUCACACUAUCAUUAACUGAAUCCAUAGGUUAAUGAGGCGAACCGGGGGAACUGAAACAUCUAAGUACCCCGAGGAAAAGAAAUCAACCGAGAUUCCCCCAGUAGCGGCGAGCGAACGGGGAGGAGCCCAGAGCCUGAAUCAGUGUGUGUGUUAGUGGAAGCGUCUGGAAAGGCGUGCGAUACAGGGUGACAGCCCCGUACACAAAAAUGCACAUGCUGUGAGCUCGAUGAGUAGGGCGGGACACGUGGUAUCCUGUCUGAAUAUGGGGGGACCAUCCUCCAAGGCUAAAUACUCCUGACUGACCGAUAGUGAACCAGUACCGUGAGGGAAAGGCGAAAAGAACCCCGGCGAGGGGAGUGAAAAAGAACCUGAAACCGUGUACGUACAAGCAGUGGGAGCACGCUUAGGCGUGUGACUGCGUACCUUUUGUAUAAUGGGUCAGCGACUUAUAUUCUGUAGCAAGGUUAACCGAAUAGGGGAGCCGAAGGGAAACCGAGUCUUAACUGGGCGUUAAGUUGCAGAGUAUAGACCCGAAACCCGGUGAUCUAGCCAUGGGCAGGUUGAAGGUUGGGUAACACUAACUGGAGGACCGAACCGACUAAUGUUGAAAAAUUAGCGGAUGACUUGUGGCUGGGGGUGAAAGGCCAAUCAAACCGGGAGAUAGCUGGUUCUCCCCGAAAGCUAUUUAGGUAGCGCCUCGUGAAUUCAUCUCCGGGGGUAGAGCACUGUUUCGGCAAGGGGGUCAUCCCGACUUACCAACCCGAUGCAAACUGCGAAUACCGGAGAAUGUUAUCACGGGAGACACACGGCGGGUGCUAACGUCCGUCGUGAAGAGGGAAACAACCCAGACCGCCAGCUAAGGUCCCAAAGUCAUGGUUAAGUGGGAAACGAUGUGGGAAGGCCCAGACAGCCAGGAUGUUGGCUUAGAAGCAGCCAUCAUUUAAAGAAAGCGUAAUAGCUCACUGGUCGAGUCGGCCUGCGCGGAAGAUGUAACGGGGCUAAACCAUGCACCGAAGCUGCGGCAGCGACGCUUAUGCGUUGUUGGGUAGGGGAGCGUUCUGUAAGCCUGUGAAGGUGUGCUGUGAGGCAUGCUGGAGGUAUCAGAAGUGCGAAUGCUGACAUAAGUAACGAUAAAGCGGGUGAAAAGCCCGCUCGCCGGAAGACCAAGGGUUCCUGUCCAACGUUAAUCGGGGCAGGGUGAGUCGACCCCUAAGGCGAGGCCGAAAGGCGUAGUCGAUGGGAAACAGGUUAAUAUUCCUGUACUUGGUGUUACUGCGAAGGGGGGACGGAGAAGGCUAUGUUGGCCGGGCGACGGUUGUCCCGGUUUAAGCGUGUAGGCUGGUUUUCCAGGCAAAUCCGGAAAAUCAAGGCUGAGGCGUGAUGACGAGGCACUACGGUGCUGAAGCAACAAAUGCCCUGCUUCCAGGAAAAGCCUCUAAGCAUCAGGUAACAUCAAAUCGUACCCCAAACCGACACAGGUGGUCAGGUAGAGAAUACCAAGGCGCUUGAGAGAACUCGGGUGAAGGAACUAGGCAAAAUGGUGCCGUAACUUCGGGAGAAGGCACGCUGAUAUGUAGGUGAAGCGACUUGCUCGUGGAGCUGAAAUCAGUCGAAGAUACCAGCUGGCUGCAACUGUUUAUUAAAAACACAGCACUGUGCAAACACGAAAGUGGACGUAUACGGUGUGACGCCUGCCCGGUGCCGGAAGGUUAAUUGAUGGGGUUAGCGCAAGCGAAGCUCUUGAUCGAAGCCCCGGUAAACGGCGGCCGUAACUAUAACGGUCCUAAGGUAGCGAAAUUCCUUGUCGGGUAAGUUCCGACCUGCACGAAUGGCGUAAUGAUGGCCAGGCUGUCUCCACCCGAGACUCAGUGAAAUUGAACUCGCUGUGAAGAUGCAGUGUACCCGCGGCAAGACGGAAAGACCCCGUGAACCUUUACUAUAGCUUGACACUGAACAUUGAGCCUUGAUGUGUAGGAUAGGUGGGAGGCUUUGAAGUGUGGACGCCAGUCUGCAUGGAGCCGACCUUGAAAUACCACCCUUUAAUGUUUGAUGUUCUAACGUUGACCCGUAAUCCGGGUUGCGGACAGUGUCUGGUGGGUAGUUUGACUGGGGCGGUCUCCUCCUAAAGAGUAACGGAGGAGCACGAAGGUUGGCUAAUCCUGGUCGGACAUCAGGAGGUUAGUGCAAUGGCAUAAGCCAGCUUGACUGCGAGCGUGACGGCGCGAGCAGGUGCGAAAGCAGGUCAUAGUGAUCCGGUGGUUCUGAAUGGAAGGGCCAUCGCUCAACGGAUAAAAGGUACUCCGGGGAUAACAGGCUGAUACCGCCCAAGAGUUCAUAUCGACGGCGGUGUUUGGCACCUCGAUGUCGGCUCAUCACAUCCUGGGGCUGAAGUAGGUCCCAAGGGUAUGGCUGUUCGCCAUUUAAAGUGGUACGCGAGCUGGGUUUAGAACGUCGUGAGACAGUUCGGUCCCUAUCUGCCGUGGGCGCUGGAGAAUUGAGGGGGGCUGCUCCUAGUACGAGAGGACCGGAGUGGACGCAUCACUGGUGUUCGGGUUGUCAUGCCAAUGGCACUGCCCGGUAGCUAAAUGCGGAAGAGAUAAGUGCUGAAAGCAUCUAAGCACGAAACUUGCCCCGAGAUGAGUUCUCCCUGACUCCUUGAGAGUCCUGAAGGAACGUUGAAGACGACGACGUUGAUAGGCCGGGUGUGUAAGCGCAGCGAUGCGUUGAGCUAACCGGUACUAAUGAACCGUGAGGCUUAACCUU
rnacentral:rRNA from 1 species